rnacentral:rRNA from 1 species
UACGUAGGGGGCAAGCGUUGUCCGGAAUCAUUGGGCGUAAAGCGCGUGUAGGCGGCUGGGUAAGUCCGCUCUGAAAGCCCGGGGCUCAACCCCGGGAGGCGGGUGGAUACUGCUCAGCUCGAGUCCGGAAGAGGAGUGUGGAAUUCCUGGUGUAGCGGUGAAAUGCGCAGAUAUCAGGAGGAACACCUAUGGCGAAGGCAGCUCUCUGGGACGGUACUGACGCUGAGACGCGAAAGCGUGGGGAGCGAACAGG